rnacentral:lncRNA from 1 species
GGAAGUUUUUUUAUAAUUCUUAUUGUGUAAAUUUUUCACUUCCCUCGUUUGCUGUAUUCCUAGGUAUUUUUUGUGUGUGUGGCAAUUGUGAAUGGGAUUGCCUUCCUGAUUUGAUUGUUGUUGGUUUAUAGGAAUACAAGUGAUUUUUGUACAUUGAUUUUGUAUCCUGCAACUUUUCUGAAGUUGUUUAUCAGAUGAAGGAGCUUUUGAGCCAAGACUAUGGGGUUUUGUAGAUAGAGAAUAUGUCAACUGCAAACAGUUUGACAUACUCUAUGGUUUUUUGGGCGUCCUUUAUUUCUUUCUCUUACCUGAUUGCUCUGGCCAGGACUUCCAAUACUAUGUUGAAAAGAAAUGGUGACAGAGGGAAUCGUUUCCUGUUGCUGGUUUUCAAGAGGAAUGCUUCCAGCUUUUGCCCAUUCAGUAUGAUGUUGGGUGUGGGUUUAUCAUAGAUGGCUCUUAUUAUUUUUAGUAUGUUCCUUCAAUAUCUAAUUUUUUGAAAUAGUUUAACAUGAAGGGAUGUUGAAUUUUUAUCAAAAGCCUUUUCUGCAUUUAUUGAGACAGUCAUGUGGUUUUUGUCUUUAGUUCUGUUUAUGUGAUGAAUCAUAUUUAUUGAUUUUUGUAUGUUGAACUAACUUUGCAUGCCAGGAUGAGGCCUAUUUGAUCAUGGUGGAUUAGCUUUUUGAUGGGCUUGUGGAUUCAGUUUGCAAAGGUUUUGUUGAGGAUUUUUGCAUCGAUGUCCAUCAAGGAUUUUGGUCUGUAAUUUUCUGUUGCUGUUGUGUCUCUGCCAGGUUUUGGUAUCAAGAUGAUGCUGGCCUCAUACAAUGAAUUAAAGAGAAGUCCUCCUAAACUUUUUGGAUUAGUUUCUGUAAAAAUGGUAACAGCUCUUCUUUGUACACCUGGUAGAAUUUGGCUGUGAAUCCAGCAGGUCUUGGGCUUUUUUGGGUUCAUAGGCUAUUUAUUACUGAUUCAAUUUUGGAGUUCAUUAUUGGUCUGUGCAGGGAACAAAUUUCUUCCUGGUUCAGUCUUGGGAGUAUCGGGUGAAAUUCACCCCCGAUAUUUCACUUAGGUUCUUUUCUAUUUUCCCUAAGUGUCAGCCAGUCUGAGAAAUAAAAAGACAGAGUACAAAAGAGAGAAAUUUUAAAGCUGGUGUCUGGGGGAGACAUCACAUGUUGGCAGGUUCAGUGAUGCCCCCUAAGCCAUAAAACCAGCAAGUUCUUAUUAGUGAUUUUCAAAAGGGGAGGGAGUGUACAAAUAGGGUGUGGGUCACAGAGAUCACAUGCUUCACUAGGUAAUAAAAUAUCAAAAGGCAAAUGGAGGCAGGG